UACGUAGGGUGCGAGCGUUAAUCGGAGUUACUGGGCGUAAAGCGCGCGCAGGCGGCGGUGCUGGCCCGGCGUGAAAGCCCCCGGCUCAACCGGGGAGGGUCGUCGGGGACCGCACCGCUUGAGGGCGGUAGGGGCUGGUGGAAUGCCUGGUGUAGUGGUGAAAUGCGUAGAGAUCAGGCGGAACACCCGUGGCGAAGGCGGCCAGCUGGGCCGUCCCUGACGCUGAGGCGCGAAGGCGUGGGGAGCGAACGGG
rnacentral:rRNA from 1 species